ensembl:lncRNA
CUACUAAGCAGUAUUGCUCCAGAGCUUCAGACUAUCAAACAGCCUGGACUAAGAACAAGCAGAUGCUCUCCACAGACUGUAAGAAAGACUGAGAUACAAGGAAGCCACAGAAAUGACCUUUUAUUGUGUCUGGGACUGCAAGUUUCAUUGUAUAUCUAAGCACCACACAAUGCACAGAAUUAUAUUGAUACAUAAACUACAUUCAGACAAUUUUGUUUUCUCCUAUUAUUCUGAGCCUUUCAAUUUUAAGCUGGGCAUUCAGAAACUGCGGCAUAUAAAAUUUUCAGUCACCUACUAAAUUUCAUGAAGAAAGUGAUAUUGUCCUAGGAAUACAGUCAUUUUGUUUUCAGAAUACUAAUUUGUUGUCAACGAUUAAUGAAAAGGUAUUAUUUAUUUAUUUAUUUAAUUAUUUAACUGAAUAUUGCAGAGCUUGAUUCACAAAAUGACCAUUAUUCAUACAUUUACAGCUGGAAGGAAAGGAUCAUAUGAUCCUUAUUAACUUUCAUACUGCCAUCAAAGUUUGUUCAAAGCGAGUCUAAAAAUAAAAAGACAAAAUAAGCCAAUAAUCUAUGUAUACUCAGGCAGAAACAGAGUAAGCUUCAGAGCCUCCUAGGAGAAAAAAUAAUAAAUGAAAAAGACUGCUUAAUUAAAAAUUGCACUUUAAAAAAGGUGCAUUUGAUUCAGUGCAGGUUAUUUCCAGAUGGAAGGUGGAGAUAAAAAAGAUUAUACUCUCAGAAAAAAAGGAAAAAUAAAUAGUGAGACUAAGGUAGCCAUUAGUAAAGCAACCAUUUACAGAGCUUUGACAGGAGAAAGUCCAUGAUAUGAGUGUGUUUUAAAGAAGCUGUUACCAAAGAAAUGUAUAAAAGCUUUGAUUUUGCAUACAUGGCUAUCUUAUGUUAAGAACUCUUAAUUCCAAAUAUAAUUCCAAAUAUAUUUCAUGAUCUGUACAAUUAACAUAUGUGACUAAAUGAACACAUGCAAUAUACUGUCCAUCCAAAGAAACCUACUAGCUUAGUUCUUAUGAUUUGAAUUAACAUACCAAGAACAGACAAAACCGUUCCUCGUUAGUGGAUCUUUGUCUUUAGUGAAUACUAGUCAGCACCAGGAAGAAGGAUUUAUCACCAGGUCUGUUUAGGCCCUGGUAAUUCUGCUUGGUGAAAUUUAAUUUAGAUUUAAUUAGAGAUGGACUGGAGUCAAGUCCUGGAGUCCUGCUUACAAAAACCUGUGCUUGGCUUUUAUUUCCCAAAGGUGGGGAACAAAACUGUGGGUGAACAUCAACCAUUUGCUCACAAGCCUCAUCCAAGUGUUCUCCACUCUGGAUUAGGUGCUCAACUAGGCAGCCUCCCUAGCCAUCGUCACUGUGUUUCUAGCACUUCCUUGUCAUGGUGUCCUCAGCUCUGGGCAAUGCCCAGGCACAGCUCUCUUCUGCAUUGUCCUGGCUUCCCUGAGACCUGUGACCAGAAGGCUGGGAUUAGGCCUUCAUGUGCCUAGGCAAAACUUUUAGGGUCUCAGUGCAUCUUUACGGUAAAACUAGCAUCAUAUGUGUAUAGAGGUCCUUUCAGGGCUGGCAUCUCUCUAACUUUAAGAAUUUAAGUAUUAGCAGUGAUACUGAGUAGAUAGAAAUUGUCUCUCUGGUCCUCUUUCUAAACUCGAUUUCUUACCUAACCCAGAUGCACUUUAAUUUGAUUACUGACAGUCAUAUAUUCACGUCUGAGGUCAGAACUUGGCUUAUCUCUUCUACUACUCUUGAUACAGAUGAUCACCACUAACUCUUUUAUUCUGUUCUCAUAAUGAUUAUAUACAGAAAAAUAUAUAUAUAUAUAAAGUUCCCAUUGUGGCUCAAAACAAAAAAACAAAAAAAUCAAAAUCUGAGGGAAAAGAAAAACUAGGUAUAAUAGUCUCAAAAUAUUUUCAAAAUAUUUUAAUCUUUAAAUUAGCACUUUUGAAAACAAAUUGUUCAGUAUUAUAUAUCAAUAACUUGAAACUUUUAUCUCUGUUAAAAACAAAUCUUCCUCCUACAUAUACAUUGGUACAUCAUUGUCUCGUGAUCUGAGAAUGCUGCAAUGGAGUUGCAUAGAGUAACUGAAGAGUACCUCCAAGCUCAACAUUUUUUUCCUGUCAGAUAACGAUUCUAAAAAAUUUAAAAGGCUUUCUUUUUGCACUAUAUUUUCUUUCAGUAGUGUCAUGGAACUUGAAUACCUGUGGGUUGUUUGUCAGCAUUUGCCUUCUCAUUUGUGAUUAUACCUUUUUCAUUAUGUUUAAGAGCUUUUCUACAGAUGAGUAGCAUAUGGUAUUGGCUAAAGAGACAAGACUUUAAUGAGAUAUAGAACACAUCAUCAAAAUGCAUGCUAAAUUGCAGUGACACGAUUGUGUUGGUAGCAUGUGAAAUUAAAUUCCUGAGAAGACAAUACAAACAAAUACACAUCAGCAGGCACGCAAUAACCAAACCUAUUUGAAAGUUGGUCCAGGAGAUGGGGCAAAUCAAGCAACACUGGGGGAAAGAGGGAUUGAAUUUUCUCCUUGGUCUCCUAAAAGUCAUUCUAGUGUUUUUUUUUUUUUUUUUUUUUUUUUUCCUCGUUUUGCACAUAGACAUAAUGAGGCACAGUAUUACUUGCUUGGAGAUGUAGAGAUAACUUGAUAAAAAUACCUGCUGAAUCAGAAGUUUAAAAAAAAACAGUUGCACUUAUCUUACACUUACAAUUUCAAACAUCUAAAUGGUAAUAAUAAUAAAAAAAAAAAAAAAAAGAAUCAACACAACAGAACAUAUUUUGUGACAUGCUCUAACCUGGAGCUACAGGGACUAUUUAAUUAGCUCUACCGAAAAUUUUCCAUCAGGAAAUACAAGAACCAAUCUUGUCUUCAUCUGAAGGACUGACUAUUAGGCUGAAAGAAGGAACUGGUAUCAGUACCUCUAACACUUUUGGACUCCCAAAUCACCCAUUUUUGUAAGGAAGAGUUAAAAGUAAUAACAAUAAUGAUAUUGUUGUGAGUAGUUCGCAAGGUUUGGAAGAAUUUGGUAACAUCACUACUUUGUCUUGGGAGAGAUUAAAGAAAUAAAAUGUUGGAUUCCUAGCCAAGGAAUACAGAUCUAACAAUUAUAAUGUAGGUUGGAUAUUUUGGAGGGUAAAAUGAACCUGUAGCCACAAAAAGAAGUGGUAGAAGUCAAUGUGUUUCUGCUGUAAAGUCACUAUUUCACAUUGUAAGCCUGAACGUAAUCUAGAAUUAAUGGUAAAAAUUGUAAAGCAAGAAAAUGAGUGUACAGAAACAGAUGUAAUGGGAAUAUUUUGAAAAGAGAAAAAAAAAAUCUUUUUCCCUUUUCAAACUGAAAACAAACAUUGCUUUUCUUUUCUUAAAAAAAAAAAAAGUAGAUAUGUAGUAAUCUGUAACAGCAACAUCAAUAAGUAGUGAUUCACCAUCUUGUGUCAAAAUUUAGUUUCUCAAGAGCGAAAAAGUAGCCAGCAAUCUGUUAGCUAAGAUAGAUGUUACAAACUAAGUAAAACUUCAGCAGUUUACAAAAACUGAGUGGUUAUUAAGUAGGAGACAACUAAUAAUCUGUCCUUGUGUUUCACAAAGCUUUUCCUCAAGUGUCGUAAAUCCACAGUUUGGAUUUUUGAACAGCCUGUUGAAGUUUUACAUAAUAAAAGGAAAUGUAAAGUCAGUUUGUCUCCAAUAGCAGUGGAUAUGCUAUCUGUGGGGUGGUUUUGUGUGCUUGUAAACUCUGGCACUUUUGAGUGCUACCUAGAACCUCAAUUUUUCUUAUUAUAAUAUAUAUGGGUGGUAUGUGAACAGCAUGUAUGGGGCAUGUGGCUGGCUUGUGGCACACAAGGCAGAUUUAUGUGAGAACCAUUUCUGUGCCAAGGCUUUGUCUCGGUUGCAUUGCCAAGGAAAGGCCAGGUAAGAAGUUCCUAGGUAAUCUGAUUCCCAGAGGAUAUUAUAAUGUUAUCACUUGUGACCCAGCUCAUAUUACCUUUAAAUGAAGUGGGAAAGUCGUAAAGAAUAUCUCUGCUACAUGUAAGCCAUUUUUAGAACUCAUUCAAUUUUCCAGAGUAAAUGGUAUAGGCAUUUGCUUUUAGCAGAAAACUGUUAGGAUCAAUAGAGUUUUGUUGAGACUUUUACUUACUUUUCCUAUUCCACCUAUUUUCUUCAAAACAAUGUUUUCACUUUUAAGGCUAAGAAAAGAAAAAAAGAAAGAUCAGGGGUCAUCGAAAGCACUGAGAGAGAGAUCAAUGAUCUGAGUGAGAGCCUGCAUGGGAAGAUGAGUUGAGAGGGAGCUGAGAUCUCCAGCUUGGUGUUUUUGUUCAUACUCACUUCAUAUUUGAUGAAGUCUUCCUGGCACACCCAUAUUUAUCUCUUUAUGUGAGCCAAAUACAUUAUGCUAAUAAUGCUAUGCAAAUUGGAGAGAUUUUCGAAAGGAGCUAUAGAGUCUCAUUGGGAUGAUGGCCCCUAGUAGAAAGAUUCUUUUGUUCAUUGAGCAACACACAAAACAUUAUGAUUUGUUAUAAUAGUUUUCUUCUAGGUAAAUGUCUUAUAACAAUCAAAAUUAGAAACAAAUUAUAUUCAGUUAUUUAGAUCUUGAAAAGGAAGAACUUAGAUGCCUUUGUAUUUUUCUAUAUUUGAAAACUGGACUAAAGCAGAAAUGCUCCACUGUGUGCACUACUUUCAAGUGUACUUGAAGCAUACUUAGAAAUAAUCACGGAUGUAUAUAUCAUACAUUUUAAAAUAUAUGGUAUUACCUAUAUAAGACGUUUGCAGAUGUUUCAGUGAUACCAAGACAUUUAGUAAGGUAGAUAAAAACAGGUCAAGUUAGUUAUGGUAUUGUAUCUUAUAUGCCCAUGGGAUUUUCAGUUGUCUUUAUUGUCUUUAUUGGAGCUAUUCUCAUCAGUAAAAAAUCCUCACGUUUAUGCAGGACAGGGAUUUUGCAUUUGUCCAAUAGAAAGAUGAUCAUCCAUGAGUAUAGUAUCAGAAUAGCUAUACGCUUAGAAACUCAUUUUGCUUUUUUAUUAGCGAGAAAGACAGAGAUGAACAAAACUUUGGGAAAGUGAGUUUCCCUUAUUAAAUAUUUACCAUUUCAGUUCCAGAGUCAGGAAAGGUAAGCUCUGUCAUUACUUUUUAUUUUUAGUAUCCAAUCUACUUGGAAGUGAAUGGAAUGCAAUAACCUUCAAAUCCCUUUAGAAGUUCUGAGUUACAUGGAAUCAUUUAUUUGAAAAGCACCAUGAGAUAAUAGAGGAGGUGGUUGGGAGGUAUAAGGCAUUUUAUUCAUGCAAAUCCCAUUUUCUGACUCCAUUUUUUUUCCCACAUUUAAAACUGUAACUCUGGAGAUAAGAAUAUGAAUUGAUUUUUUUGAAUUGUUUUGUGCUAUGUUAAUUUAAAAUGAUCAGCCAACAGAGCAGUAAUGAUCACAGAGGCUUGUUCUUUGGAAACAAAGAUAACAUUUCACUGAUCUGAUGUGGCAAUUGUAAGCUUUAAAACACAUCAGAGAUUUUUAAGGCCACAAGGGAGUGUUUUGAUCAUCUAGCCUGACUUUUUGCACCAGAAACAAAGACAGUUUCACCCAUAGUUCUUGCACUUCUGAACAAACACAAAUAAUUUUAUUUGUAAGAGCUUCUGAAAAUGUAAAUAAGGCUUUCACUAGGUAAUUUUAACUUGUUUUGAAAGCACACCUGAACAUUCCAUUACACACUGACGUUAUAUACUGAUUAAAAUCAGGAGUAGAUUUUGGAAGUGAAUGAAAGAGAUGAAUUGUCAGGGAACAUCUGAGUACCAAAAUUGAGUGAAAAACAUUAUAAAAUGUUUAAGUCUUAUUGAUGUAGUACGGUUUUAAGCUAGCUCUUAGACAUAAAUGCAAAAAAAAAAAAAAAAAAAAAAAAAAAAAAAAAGCAGUGAGAGUGUUAAGAGUUUGAGAAGAUAAGCAUGGAUCUAAGCCCUUAGCAGACUGGAAUCCAAGUGCCUACUCAAAAUUAAUUCUUAAUUAAUUAAUUAAUUUUAGCAAUGAGCUGCUAUAGAGUUUAAGAGAAGUGCAGUAAUACAAAUUACAGAACAAAAGUAACUAUAAGAAAACUUAUUUUCUUCAAUAGUCGUGUUCAUGGUAUUACUUAAGGAAUCACAAAUGAAGUUCAUGCUGUGCAGCAUAACAUGCCUCACAAAACACUAGUACUACUUGUACUGCAGAAUGCACAAGCUAAAUAGAAGAAAAACAUGCCAUUUUCAUGCUAACACAUGAUCUUCUGUUAUUUUAAUGCUUUUCGUAGUACUUCCUCAUCUUUUAUUCUUGAUUAUGUAUUUGUGUGUAAAACUACAUACAAAACUACUGCUGAAGGUUACAGGACACACCCCGAAUAUUGCAGCAGCCUUGCAGGUGAGUUUUGCCAAAAUACCACUUAAAACACUGAAGUGCUUGUAUCUGAAGUAGGCAGAGAACAUAAUUGAACGGAGGUGCUAUAAUUAAAACACAAUUAAAAUUGUGAAGCCCUUGAGCAUCUGAAAUUGUGUCAUGAUAAAAUAUUUAUCAGGUUUCAGAACUCAAUCACAUCUAUGGCCAUGAAGCCACGAUUUGCUCUUUCACCAGCAAGAGUACCCCUCUAUUACGGUUUAAUGUGUCUCUUUAAGUGACACAGUUUGAUAUGGAAGAGUAAGGAUGACAGAGAUGCAUAGAAGCCAAGCCAAUACACUGCCAAAAACACAAACACAGUUAAGCAUUUAUUUAUAAAUAUGUUUUAUUUUUUGCUGUUAAAAAUUUGAAAACAAACAUAAAAAUUUGACAGGCGUAAACCUGAUGAAUGUGUCUGAUACUGCAAUCUAUAGAUGGUUUGCAAGCAAUCAAUUGAGCAUUGUUCUUUUAAUGCAAGAAAUGAUCUCUCAAAGGGAAAGAAAAAAACGUGUAAUUAAUGUGGCUAAUAUUUGAGGUAUUUUGUACUUAAGUCUACACAUUUCGUUUGAGUAUCUAGACAUGCAUACUCUCUCCACCUGGGAUAAAAAUAAAAAAGUACAAAUGACCUUCAGUUAAAAACUUGGCAACCAUUUCAAAGUCUACUUCUAAAUUUAACUUUGUUAUGUAUGCUUAUUAAAAAUAUAAUUAAUUGCCUGGGACUCUGGUCUGAAAUACCAGUAUCUAUCAUAAAUGCUGGACAAUUUUUCAAUGUAUCUGCUUUCAGACAUUGGCACAGUAUCAGUUUCAAUGACUAGGUCAAAUUAAGGGAUUUGCAAAUGAUGCCGUAGGCUUUAAUGACAGAUCUGUGAAUCCACUGACAAACAAUGCUACCGAAGUUCAAAAGAUUCACAAUUAUUUUGAUUUUCUGUCACAUUUAGAAGUUGAGUCAUGAAGAUCUUGUAAACAGUGCCUAAGUCAGGAGAAAACAUUGCCACCCUUAACACAUGAAUGGCCUUGAUUAGCUGCUGAAAGUGCUGGAGUGACUUUCUCUGUUUUGUCUUUACAGGUAGGAAACAUAUGUUAUGGUGGGGGGUGGGGAGCAAGCAAUUGCUGCUGGUUUUUUUGUUUUGUUUUUUUUUUUCCCUUCCCUAAGCAAUAACUGCCUGCAAACAUAGCAGGGUUUUAACGUUGGAAAUUCUACAGUGUUUAAUAGAUUUUUGUGUACUACAGUGUUACUUGCUAUACUUCCACACGUCAUAAAAUACACGUAUGCAGUAAGGUCUGCAUUGCUCAUCAGUCAGGAAAGGAACAGAGACAUAAUGCCUCAGUCUGAAACAAACGAUCAAAACCAAAAUUCCUUCCAAAUAUAAAAGCAGGUGCUUUGAAAUAGGGCAAUUUACUUAGUAGCUCAAGAGAUUGAGGACUAGAGAUGUUAAUGUGUUUUAGAGCUGAAGGCUCAAUUUCCAAUACUGCCUUCCAGCUACCACAAUUUCCAAACAGUAGCUACAGCAGCAAUAGGAAAGACAACUGUGCUGGCUGUACACAGCCUAGAAAUUGAAAAUGUGCUCGGUUGGAGAGGCCAACGAUCUAUUAAAUGGUGGAAGAUCAUUCUAAUUUCUUCCUAAUCGUGCUCCUGCUGCAACUGCUGCUGCUUCAAAUCCGUGAUCAUACUGAGGCUGCCCUUCAAGGAGCAGCACAAGCCUUCCUCACUUGUCUAAGCACAGGUUCAGCUGUAAGCCUGGAAGCUUCGCAGGUUCUUGAGACAGCACCUGCCAGCGACUGGGAUGAAACUAGCAAGUGAAGGAAAAGCUUCCCCUACUAGCGGCAGGCUGGGAACCAUUUUGAGUCAUUAACAAGCAGCACUUAACAGGUGGGCGGAGCACAGGACUUAAGGGGAUGCAAAGCAGGUAAACACUAUUUAGACUGAGCGUCUGAAAAGUGAUUGCUUGUUUCAGGGGAGGAUGCACUUAAUAUUACAGAUAUUUUUUUUCCCUUUUCCUGGGACUGCAAUGCAGAAGUUCCUUUGUGCUAAUCUUGGCGCUGACAUUGAAAUUGAUGUGUGGCCUUUAGGCAAGUCACUUAAUCAAUGUGUUUGUAAAAUGAGGAUAAUAACAUUUAUUUGCCUGCCUGGAAAGGAUGUUGUAAGGACAGGCUAGUUAACGCUGUAAAAUGUUAUUUACUAGUAAUUGCAAGUAUUAUUAUAUUACAGACUUAAACUGCUCCUUGACUGGCAAUUGAAAUACCUGAAAAACCAAAUAGCAGCCUUAAGUAUAAAGGUGACAAUGUCUCAGCUAAGUGGAGGUGGUUAAUCCCCCUUCUUUUUCAUGUAGCUAAUUAUGCUUUAACUGUGGCAGCAAAUACAAAAAUGUCCUGAGCAUACAUCAGCUCUUAUUCAGAAACAGAAUGAAGAGAAAUGUGGAGGGAAUCAUGUUUGAUUCACUGUAAUUUGCCACAGAUAAUAGGUCAAGGGAGUAGCUGGGCGCAACACAGGAAAAUACAUGUUGAAGCCCUUGUUCUGGGAUGCAGGUGUUGUCAGGUGUUCUGAAAGGAGGGGGAGCACACAGACAUGAGAAAAUUAGAUGCAUCAUUACCAUUUUCAACUCAAUUAGCAUCCUUGCUCUUCAGGAUUAAAUGAGGUCGGUAGCGUGCCUUUAGGUAUGGCAGGUGAAAAAAACAACACAGAGAAGCCCGGAGGAUGAGACGGAUAGAUGUAAUACUGUAGACCAGCAGGAAGUAGCUUAGGAAAUGAACUAUAGGAAACUCUUAUCUGUUAGCUAAGCUCUAAGGACAUCACUGAGAACUCUUCUAAGGCCUCAAACUGCAAAUACACCAUCAGCUGUCUCCCUGGGGUGGCUAAAGGAUCAGGUCCUUUUCCUUUGUUCCUGCUUACAAAAAUUCCUUUAUGCCACCUGUAAUGCUUUCAACAAUCAUUCAAUUAAAAAUAAUCAUGCUUAGUUAAUGUAGUAGUUAAGAUAAACAGCUCUUGGUUUCUCUAACAACUGUAGUACAGGGUCAUAUUCUGAUUCUUGCUUACACUGAGUGGAACCUAACCAGCAGGAAAAGUGUCUCUGACUUUAUUAGAACUUGGGGGGAUAUCUUCUUCAUAGAUAUUAUAUACAUCUCAGUUUAACUGCCUGAUAUUUUCAUCUUGAAUUUGCUUGAAAUAAUCAAUGAACGAAGGAAGAAGAGAACCAGACUGUGAUUAGAGAUAUUUCCAAGAACAUACUAAGAGUUCUGGAAUGGGAAAUAGAAUUGUUAAUUUAGGGAUGCCCCACUUUGCCUAUCUCCAGGUUAUACCCUUGCUUUUCCAUUUUGAAGAUUUACAGUCAAAACUCAGGGCAAACCCAGUGUGGGAAGGAAUGGGAGGGGAAGGAAAUCACUGACCAGCAUCUCCAAAGGGAAGUGAAAAACACAAAGAUGGCCGCUGAGUGCUGGAUCUGUGAUACUGCACUAUUGCUUGGCACACCUGAGGCAGGCACGUACGUUUCUGAUGCUUAUCACAGGGGUAAGCUUUACGGAGAGAUGCAGGUGAACAAAUGUUUUGCAGUUUUCUUUAAAAUGGUUCUUUGAGAGAUUGUGAGUCAUUGUGCAGUGGUGUAGUACCAUAGAGAAGCAUCAUGCAGAGACAAAUUGUAGUUUGGCUUGCCAUGCUAAUAGAGACAGAAAUGCCUCUUCAGAGCUCAGACAAAAAGUGGUAGCUGUAGGGCAUUCAUACCAGAAAGAAUCAAAUGUACUGCCAUUUAGCAAUUUAAGGGAUGUGCUUCUGAGAAGGAGUUUUAGAUGCAGGAAUACAGAAUACAAGAUGCUGUAGACUCACCACCAGGUUUAAAGAAGCAUUUUCUUGGGAGUUCUGCUGUGGGUAACACAUGGGCAGAGGCCUGUCACUCAAAAAGAAUGAGCAUUGAAGAGACUGGGAGGAGGUGAGGUCCGGCAACGAUUCUUGUCCCAUGAGAUGGUAUUAGUGGAUAUAAAGGCACUGUUAGUCUGCCAGUUAGCAAAUGCUUAGAAGUAUUUCUGUGUGAAUAUUUGGUCAAAUCAGUAAAAAAAAAAUAUGCUAAGACAUCUACUGUUCCAUUUUUUUUUUCUUCCAUGAUCAUAGCCUGUCAUGGUUUUAUGAUUUUUGGUUAUCAAUAUUCCACAUCAUAACAUCAUGCAGUGUACUGGGAGUUAGAGAGCAAAUGCUCUAGUUCCGGGUACUUGUCCAGAAGAGAAGAACUACGUUCCCCAGAAGACUGUUCGAGUAGUUACCAUUCCUGCUCAGGGGAACAGAUAUAAGGCCUGUAGGUCACCUGACCUGAGUGAGUCCUCUUCCCUUUCUUCUCGUCUCAUGCUCGCUUGCGGAUUGUCUCGCUGCUGCUCCAGACUGCACACAAGGCUUCAGUAUUAGUGUAAGGCCUUUAGCUCUUGAACAAUCCUUCUCUCAAUUAUGUUUGAUUUUAUUAACAAUUAUAUUGAAUUAUAUUGUAUUAUAGUGUGUUAUCGUGCAUUCCGAUACUGUAUUUACUAAAUUAGUUUGUUUCUCCUCAGAUCGUUGCUGCUGUUUUUUUUUUUUUUUUUUUUUUAAUUAUUCUUUUUUUUUUUUGUGGGGGGUCCCCUGUUUCCCUUUUCCGGAGGCACGGAUGUUGCAAAAAAAUCCCUCCGCCCCACUAGUCAUGGAACCGGGCCAGACCAGCCCGUAAACCGUCGACAUAGCCUUACAGAAAGAAUGAAUUUUAGUGACAGUCAGAGAAAAGUCACUCAGAAUAAUAUUUGAACAGGACUAGUGAUGUGUUAAGUACCCACAUCCAGUAGGACUAUCAUGCAAGUUCAGUCAAACAAGCCAAAAGAUAUCAAAUUUCCAGACAUGAAUGCUAGUACCAGAUUAUCUGUGGAUUGCUUACAGUCCAAAAAUAGUGCACAGACCAGAUUCUGAAUUUAUAGAAAAGAUAGUAAAUAUGUGGAGAAAAAGUUUCUGAAAGACUUAAUGCUUUUUAUUUCCCUUCAUUACCAGAUUGGGUGACAAUUAAGUAUUAAAAUAAUUACAUUGUAUUUUUUAUUAGUUCUUGAAAAAAAUAACCUCUAAGAUGAUACUGAGUUGUUUUUUUGUUUUUGUUUUUGUUUUUUUUUAAGCAUGAAAUAAUAGAGCAUUUUAAAAUUUGCUUUUGUUCACCACCACUACAGCAGCAUUAGCUAUUGUCUUUGAUCACGAAUAGUAAACUCCUUAAUCUAUUCCUAGUACCAUGUGUUUUGAAAAUAUACUGAAAACUUUCUGUACUUUAUUUAUAACUUUGUGAUGAUAAUGCCCUGGAGAUGCCUGUUCUAUAAGAAAAAUUCUACAGAUGCACUGUACAUCGUAAUAGGAACAGUGGAUCCUUAAACAGAUUUUAAACAAGCACUGUCACUACUCAGUGCUGAGCAGCUUCUUGUUUGCUUUGCAGCUCUGCUAGUUAUCCUUAAAUCACACUUUUGACAGUUCAUAAACUCUAGACAUCUAUCCACACAGACUUGUAAAGAAAUUAAGUAUCUUAUUUCAGCAGCUAAAAGGAAAGUCAAGUAAGGUUGCAUAUAUUAAUAAUUUCUUAGCAAUGUAUUUUAUUCUCACUGGACUGCAUACUGGGAGGUGAGUAAAAAUAUUUUAUACUGAGCAGAAGGCAGGAUUGUAACAUGUAUCUGAAACUGCAGUUGUGCAGUUAUUUUUCUGUGUGCUGAGGCAAAGAAUUAGUAGGGGCAAAAUAAAAUGAAGGAUAAGGUAUUCCUGUGGAAACAAAACCACAUAGAUCUGCUGACAUAUGUAUUCUCUAGCCAUUCUUAAUUACCAAGAAUUCUGAUGUGUUGCUGGAGGAGGAUAGAAGUGUUUUACCUGUCUUGUGGCUGCAGAUGUCCCUGGCAUUGCUUACCUCAAAAUCUAAGGUACGAGCACUAUGUUAAUUUUACUUAUAAAGGUGUUUGUUGUCAUCAGUGGAAAGCCAGAAAUUCAGUAGAUGGUCAUAUAAGGUCCAGAACGGUAGAUCAGAUCAUGAGUUUUUCAAGACUUGUGUUCAAUUCAUAUUCUUUCUAAAAAGAAACAGAGGAAUAUUUUAUGUACAGAGAAUGACAGUUCUUGAUUUAGAGAAUGACUCAGCUCCCAGGAUGGAAUCCUUUGUGAGUUUUUCUUGUGCAUGUGUUGAAACAGAAGACAACAUAAGAGUUACUGAGGAGACAGCUGAAGGAUUGCACAGGCCAAGAAGCAAUAGAGAAUUUGUGAACUGUAUGAGCAUUUCAGUAUUUUAAAUGUGCAGCUGAAACAGGGAAAGAGGGAAAAAACAAAGAUUACUAAUAAUUUGGAUAACAAUCUUAUCAAUGAAGAAAUCUCUCUAUUUGCAUAAACCAAUGCUUUAACAGCAAAGGUUAAAGAGCCAGACAAAGACUAACAGAAAAAUAACAGUAGAUGAUCUCAAUGUGGUCUGUGAGACUAAGUUUUAAUAGAGGAGGACAAAGGCAUGGAAGACUUUUUGAAGCAUUUCUCAUUUACAGUGUACUAAUCUCUUGUAGAUAGGCGGCAGUCUUUGUGGUGGAUGCCAGCUGCUGAAAAUCUGAGAAAGAAAAUGUGGCAGUCUGGCAAACUGACACUAGGUGGACACUGGAUGGAGGCCCAAAGAUUGCUUUAAAAGCCUCUGAUCAUAGCCCUAGGUGAUCACAGAUCUUUGUGUCUGCUCCCUUCCUGUGAAUCAGCUGAACAGAGACUUUGUUUCUCUUAUAGCUGAUUAGUGAAGGACAAGACCAUUGACAGGGGAACCAAGGCUCUGAGGACAUGGUUCAGAAGGCACGGUGGUGUUGGGUUGACUGUUGGACUAGAUGAUCUUAGUUUCCUUUUCCAAUCUUAAUGAUUCUAUAAUUCUGUGAUUCUUAGGUAGGACAAAAACAAACCCAGUCCCCUGCUGGACAUUCCCACUCUGCUCCUAGGAAAUCUAUCCAUUUUUAUUUUUUUUGGAAGAAAUAGAUGAGGUGAGGAAAUGGUAUUAAGCAGGGACUAAAUCUUUGGGCUCUUUCAAAUUCUUUCAAAAUUCUUUCUAGAUUCUUUCAAAAGAUCUAGAAACUGAUUAUUAUGAGUGGAUGCGUAACACUGUCUGGAUUUAAGAAGGAAGACCAGAAUUUGAAUGAUUAUACCACUAUGAUGGUCAUAAGCCAAAAGAAAGCAGAGACAUAUUAGAAGCAGAAAAAGUUGUCAGGCUCUGUUUAGCGUUUUGUGCAUGGCAGCACAGUAGAAAUUAACAAGCCUUGAAUGUUUAAAUACACAGAUGUAUUUAAAUAGCUAUAGGGAUGGCCUGGAGUGCAGACAGUUUUAGGGCCUGCAGAUACCAGAACAACAUGGAAUGAGCUAGCUGCAUAUAUGAGGGGAGAAGCGAUGUCAGCCAUCAUAGAUAAUAAACAGCAAAAUCAAAAAUACCAAAGUGAGCAGAUGACUCAGAAGCUGUAACACUGUUAUUUUUAUCAGUAUUUACACUCAAACAUUCUUCUUAGGGAAACAUGGCAAAAGGGAUAUGACAAGGUAAGAUGCAGCAGCAAAGCAUAUAUGCAGUGGUAAGAAAUAGUGUAGUAAGAAAGCAGCUGAACUUAGCACAAACAUAUAGUGAGGAAACUGGAAAAGAUUCAAUAUACUGGAAGAGCAUCUCCAACAAGGCCUCUACUGGAUUGCUAACUGAAGACUGACAUAAGGAAAAAGGCUAUUCAUACCUCUCAGCUGCAGCCAAAAAGGCUUACACUUCACCUUUACAGACUUCAAAUUACAAUUUGAUCAUUGGGGAAGGCCUACUGUCCUGAUGGAAUGAAUGGACAAUUGGAAAAUGACAAGCCUGGAUGUUGCCUGAGAAGAGAACAUAAUGCAGAAAGACUGAAUACUGGCACAAGCUGAAAUCUGUACAAUUUAAAAGGUUAUUCUGAUUAAGCAUACACAAACAGAAUGAAGUGCUAACAAAGAAGUUGAAAUAUGAAAGCAGUGGAAACCAGAAUUGAUAUGAGAGCCCUGCUGUAGAAGCUGAUCAUGCAGAAUGGGAGAAAUAUCUGCACAGAGUGGUUAAACUAAAAUCAGAUAUCAAAUGUUUCUUGAGUGGAAUUAGGAGACUGAAUCCAACAUCCAGGGAGAAUUUUGAGAGAUAAACAAAAAACUCAAAGAAAUACCAAAAAAUGAAGGGCAUUGGAAACUGAGAAAUAUCAAUCCAUAAUUCCAGCUAAAGUAGGAUAACAUUAACUCAGAAAACUCAAAAUUAACCUUAUAUGUGAUUGUAAUUAAACUGCUAUUUAAAUUAUAAAUGUUUAUCUGUUUGUUACAAAGAAGAGAUUAAACCAAAGCAAAACAAACAAAAAGAUAUGGAGUAUUACUGAAGUGAUGUAAUAACAUGAAGUAAAAUAUUCUUACUAAGUAGUAAUGAAUCAUAAAAUCUUUUAAGUUGGAAAGGACCUUUACAGGUCCUUGAAUGUCUCCAAAGAUGGGGCCUCCACCACAUCUUUGAGUAACCUGUUCCAGAGCCUCACCACCCUUAUUGCAAAAAACUUCCUUAUGUCCAAUUUAAAUCUCCACUCUUUUAGUUUUAAACCAUUUUCCCUUGUCCUGUCACCACAGACCUUGCUAAAGAGUCUGUCCUUUUCUUUCUUACAGCCCCCCUUCAGACACUGAAAGGCUGCUAUCAAGUCUCCCCAGAGGCUUCUCUUCUCCAGGCUGAACAGUCCCAGCUUUUUCAGUCUGUCCUUACAAGGGAGGUGUUCCAUGGGGACACCAGAUCAUAGUAAUACUUCAGUAACAUGAAAGCAAAAAGCAGCCAUUAUCUAGUGCUUUCAUGCUGCUACAGUGUGAUUUUGGUUCUGUAUGCUAAGUGCAAAUAGCAUUCCUAUCAAAAGCAUUUAGUGGAAUUUGACAACUCUGAAAGUGGCUUUUUAGUAGUUUAGAUUUCAGAUUACUUUUGAUCUUUAAAGAUGUGUUUCUAUUUAAAGAUCCUGUUACCAUACGAGGGCAAUGGUAAGACCUAAAAAGACAAUCUCAAUGAAUAAUAAAUUUCCUAAAACAAACUGACAGAGAAAAAGCCAACAAAAACAAACCCCCCAAACCAUAAACUAAUUAAGGGAUAGACUAAUGGAUUCUUGGAAUGUUUGCUGUAAUUUUCAAUGUUAUAUCCUUUAUUUUUCCUAAGUAAUUAAUUAAUAGUUAAAUCCUUACAAAAACUGCAAAACUUUUUAAUGUUUUAAUUAAAGAACUGACAUGCUGCUGAGAUUCAGCAACUGUGCAACACUGCCCAUUUUUCCUCCUUCUGCAUCUCAGCAGAGCCUUGGAAAGCUCAAAGACAGGAAUAAAAAACUUGUAUAAUCUCAACUGCCAAUGUCUGACCUACCUGUAAAGACUAUGUAGAUUAGUGAUAUUUAAGAAAUGUACUGUAUGUUUGCAAUGCCCCUUUUAUGCCUAUACUGGAAGGAAAACUAGGUACACAGUACCCUUGACAACUGUCCUGUCUGUCUCCCUGCAGGCUCCAGCUAACACCAUGAGGUGGUCUCUGGCCAAUCUGAGAGCCAGGAUGGUGGGAAGAAUUUGAACCAGUGCUUCAGAGAAAGAACCCUGUUCCUACAGUUUAGCAUCUCUGUCUACUUUUGCAAGUAAGAGCAAUAUAUGAGAAAAUGAAAAUUGCUGUAGUGCAUUACGUGAGUAGUCAGUUCUUGAAUGUUCUUCAAUACAAAACUUGGAUUUCUUUUUGAACUUCGUACAGAAACUAUUAUAAGAAUUGUAACUAGUUAUUGCAUAGCACUGCUAUGCAACAUUUUAAAGUAUACACAACUUAAUAAUAAACAUCCUUUGAAAGACAAAUUUAGAGUGGUUUGAUAUACUCUGUUCUUGGUGGUAGCUGGGUGCCAGACACAUGCCUCAGAUGCCAGUCCUUUAAGAUCCAUUACUGUCCCCCAAAAGAGCAGUUAUUACCAUCCACCCCUUCUUCCUAUCUCUACUGGCAGCUGCUAUCUUUGGGUGGAUGUCAGACAAAUACACAAAGAAGCAUUCAUCUACUGCAACAACAUUUAUUGUUUCAAGUGCCCUUUUUUUGCCUCUAGGUAGAAGACUAAAUGGCAAUGUCCUCAGAGCCAAAUUCAGCCUUAGAGUCUCAGCCAGAUCACACUGGAAUAGAUCACAGUAAUAUAUGCCUUUGUGUCUUUGAGCAGGCAGAUAAAAUCACACCUCAGUUGUAAACUUGAACAUGAAUGGAUACAAAUAGAAUGGUUAUCAAUUUCCCAAUUCACAAGGUAUUAAAUAUAGCACUUGGGGCUACUUGAAGAAUUUAACUUCCUGACAUUCAAGGAUGCUUGGAUGCGAGUCUGGGUACUGUGUUAUUUCUGCUUACAAUCUCACAAACAAAGGUUAAGAAAGGGUCUCUGUCUCCAGGGAGCUCGAAGUCACAGCAAUAUUCCUACUGUUUACAUGAAUUGCUAAUGCCAAUUUAUAAAUCUCUCUCUUGUGUCUAUGCCAAAUAGCUAAUAAUGGCACUCUGAACCUGUUGAGCUUUCUGAUAAUUAAGAAAACCAAACAGACUGUGCUUAAAAUGAAGCUCCUGUUUCCUAUGGUAGUAUAUUCAAAGACCGCAGGGAUUUCCCCCCUCCUUCCUCGUGAGCAGCAGGCAACCUCUCCAUUACAGCUGGAAGCCUCAAACAGCAGUACAGGUAAAACGCUAGCUAUUGUGAAAAACAAGUUCCUGGCUCUUGAUUAACAGCUGGAUUUGCUUCCCUCUUUGCUUGCCCAACCAGAUAACUAUGGGAAUGUCAGAGACAGUUUGCAAAAGAAAACAUAAUGUGCAUAGCAUGAUGUCAGAAAUAAGAUAGAGUUAUUAAACUUCAGUUUAACACAGACAAGGGAAUCACUGCUACACAGACAGUUCUGAGGCAUAUAACAGGUUUUCAGUCCUGACUGAGACUGAAGAAAUGGUAGACACCGAGGCAAGUUAUGUAACAAUUUCUCAGAAUCCUAAAAUCGUUUAAGGGGCCUUUAAAGGUUAUCUAGUCCAACUCCCUGUAGUGAACAGGGACACCGACUAGAUCAGGUUGCUCAGAGCUCUGUCCAGUCUAAACCCUGCAUGUCCCCAGAGACAGGGCUGCCACCACCUCUUUGUGCCUUAUUGUAAAAAAGUUUCAGUGCCUAAUUGUAAAAAACCUUCUUUCUUAUAUCCAGUCUAAGUCUCCCCUCUUUUAGUUUGAAAUAAUUUCCACUUGUCCUAUCACAACAGACCCUGCUAAGGCACUGCUAAAGGGUCUGUCCCCUUACUUCUCACAGCCCCCCUUUAGAUACUGAAAGGCUGUUCUCAGGUCUCCCCAGAGGCAUCUCUUCUCCAGGCUGAACAGCCCCAGCUCUCUCAGCUUGUCCUCACGGGGAGGUGUUCCAUUCUUUGGAUCAUUUCUGUGGCCCUUCUCUGGACCCUCCAACAGGUCCACAUCUCUCUUGUACUGAGGAGCGUGUCCACACCUGGACAUGCUAUUCCAGGUAAGAUCUCAGCAGUGUAGAGUAGAGGGGCAGGAUCACCUCCCUUGACCAGCUGAUCACACUUCUUUUGAUGCACCUCAGGAUACAGUUGGCUUUCUGGGCUGUGAGGGCCCAGUGCUGGCUCAUGUCCAGCUUCCCAUCCAUCAGUACCCCCAAGUCCUUUUCUGCAGGGCUGUCCUCCAUUCCUUCACUGCCAUCUUGUACUGAUAGAGGAGGUUGCCUUGACCCAGGUGCAAGACCUUGCACAUGGCUUCAUCGAACCUCAUGAGGUUGACCUGGGUCCACUGCUCACAGCUGUCUAGGUCCCUCUGGAUGGCAUUCUAUCCCUCAGAUGUGCUGACUGUACCACACAGCUUGGCAUCUUCCACAAUCUUGCUGAGGGUGCAUUUGAUCCUACUGUUCAUGUAAUGGAUGAAGAUAUUAAACAGCACUCAUCCCAGUACUGAUCCCUGAGGGACACCACUUACUACUGAUCUCCAUCCAGAUACUGAGCCACUGAUUCUUAGGACAGAGAACAAUUUCAGUUCUCUGUAAGACAAAAGUACUUGGAUUUUUGUGUGUGUAGUUAUAAACUGCUGCAAGGAAAGAAAUACAGCGUAGUUAAAUGCAUACCAUUUGAUGAAACAAAUAAUUUUGAAAACUGUCACUGCAGCCAAUUUUUGGAGAAGCUAUAAAUAAACUGCUGUAGUUUGUUACAGGCUGUCACCUGACAGCAGAAUAGGAAGGCACUCUAAAUCCACAGUAAGCCAAGGCAGGGGAGAUGAGUUACAAACCACAGACAGAAAUCUUGGAGACAGUUGUGGAAGCAAUGCCAAGUACCCUAGUGCUGGAAAGUUUAUAACCUGUGGCUAAAAUGUAUCCAAAAAGAGGCCUGUAAAUACACAUUGUCAGUAUGUAUCUUAAGAAAGCAAUACUGCUGUAUCUUAAAAAAAGUGCUGGACAACAGCCACGGUCAGGCUGGUAAAGAGUUACCCUGGAUACCUGGAGGCCUAUCCAAAAAUGAAACACACUGAAUGAUACCCUGUCCCUCAUAAUCUAUCUGUGCUAUUCAGCAUUUACAGCUGCUUUAGGAUCCACUGAACUCACUCUACUUUGUUCAGGUCUCCUCUGGCCCCCGCGAAGCAGCAUUCUGCCAGACACACGCAGCGUUUUAUGAGAGCUCACGGAUGCCAUCAGAGCCGCGUCGCUGCGCUCGACUGCGAGCUGCCCAGCGCCCCGCCGAGCGGCGGAGGAAUUUAUCGCAGCGCUCGCACCCCGUGCCCCUUCCAGGGAGCCCGAGCGUCGCGGCCAGG